rnacentral:rRNA from 1 species
GACAGAGGGUGCAAACGUUGUUCGGAAUUACUGGGCGUAAAGCGCGUGUAGGCGGCUCGGCAAGUCGGAUGUGAAAGCCCUGGGCUCAACCUAGGAAGUGCAUUCGAAACUGCAGAGCUUGAGUUCUGGAGAGGAAGGCGGAAUUCUCGGUGUAGAGGUGAAAUUCGUAGAUAUCGAGAGGAACACCUGUGGCGAAGGCGGCCUUCUGGACAGUGACUGACGCUGAGACGCGAAAGCGUGGGGAGCGAACAGG